CUCCUAAUGGACAAGCAAGCUACUUAACCACUGUGGGCUUCUCAACAACCUUCUAAAUAGGAUUUUUGUGAGACUUAAAUGAAAUAGUAUAACAAAAUCAUUUAUAACAGUGUGAGAAGUGAUGGAGAGAAGUCAUGGUCUGGAGUCAGACUGCAAGCAUUCAGAUAUUGCAGAUAUUGCUGCCCCAUUUAAGGGGAGAUAUGCAAACUUUUUAGAUGUCAGUUUCUACAUCCAUAAAAUGGAGGUGAAAAUAAUACAUAGUCCAUAGGAUGGUUUAAACAACUAUCCCAUUUAAAGUGUGUGAAGCACACUUAAUCAUGAUACCUAGCACUUAAUACAUACUCAAAAUCUCAUAUUCCUGCAACAUUUUUUGUGUGUGGAUGUAUAUGAUCUUGUCUUGUUUGCUUGCUUGUUUACUUCUUAUGGGUAGGGGCUCAUAAAAUAGUGGCAAACAGUGUAAGGUAAUGCGGGAAACCCAGGACUCAGCUGUGGGGAAAGAACAGUGUCCUGUGACUCUCUUUUCCUAGUGACAAGAACUUUCAUGUUUUCUUGAGUCCAAAUCCCCGGGGAUUCAGAGAGCACUCAUGGGCAGAAAACAAUCUAAGAGACUCAAAAACUACCUUCUGUCUUCAGUGAAUGGAACAGAGUUGAGAGUCCAAAUCCAUGUACCUGUUUUCCGUAGAUUUACUUUUUUUACAGGGGAUAUUUUGCUCCCUCUCUCAAAAAGAUUUCUUGACUUGCCUUUAUCAGUAUGCAGAGGUUGAGGCUUGAAGAAUCUGAAUUAAACAUAAACAGGUGUGGGGCACCUGGGUGGCUCAGCUGGUUGAGUGUCCAACUCUUGACUUUGGCUCAGGUCAUAAUCCCAAGAUCAUGGGAUUGAGCUUCACGUUGGGCUCUGUGCUGAGUGUGGAACCUGCUUAAGAUUCUCUCUCUCUCCUUCUGCCCCUUUCCUUGGCUUGUGCUCACUUGUUCUCUCUCUAAAAAAAAAUAAAAAUAAACAGUGCUUUUGUUUUAUAG
rnacentral:lncRNA from 1 species